UGGGGAAUAUUGGGCAAUGGGCGCAAGCCUGACCCAGCAACGCCGCGUGAAGGAAGAAGGUCUUCGGAUUGUAAACUUCUCUCCUUGGGGACGAAGGAAGUGACGGUACCCAAUGAGGAAGCCCCGGCUAACUACGUGCCGGCAGCCGCGGUAAUACGUAGGGGGCGCGCGUUGUCCGGAAUUACUGGGCGUAAAGGGUGCGUAGGCGGCGAUGGAAGUCCAUUGUGAAAAGCCCGGGCUUAACCUGGGAGGUGCAGUGGAAA
rnacentral:rRNA from 1 species